CUACGGGAGGCACCAGUGGGGAAUAUUGGACAAUGGGGGAAACCCUGAUCCAGCAAUGCCGCGUGUGUGAAGAAGGCCUGCGGGUCGUAAAGCACUUUCGGUUGGGAGGACUGCUUCUAGCACUAAUAUUGUUGGAAGUUGACGUUACCUUCAGAAGAAGCACCGGCUAACUCCGUGCCAGCAGCCGCGGUAAUACGGAGGGUGCAAGCGUUAAUCGGAAUUACUGGGCGUAAAGCGCGCGUAGGCGGCUAGAUCAGUCGGGUGUGAAAGCCCCGGGCUUAACCUGGGAACUGCAUCCGAUACUGUCUAGCUUGAGUACAGGAGAGGAGAGUGGAAUUCCACAUGUAGCGGUGAAAUGCGUAGAUAUGUGGAGGAACACCAAUGGCGAAGGCAGCUCUCUGGCCUGAUACUGACGCUGUGGUGCGAAAGCGUGGGGAGCAAACAGGAUUAGAUACCCGUGUAGUC
rnacentral:rRNA from 1 species